GAACACCGGUGAAGAGGUUGAAAUGGCUGUGGCCAUAGUCUUUUUGUUGUUGACUUCUUGUGCUUUAGCACUACUAUAUACUACUACUAGUAGUAAUAUCCUAAACAUGGUGGUUGUAGUAAAUAUCUAGAAUUUACCCACGUGCUUAAUUAAGACAGGAUACGAGGUUUGCAGAUGCAUCAUUAGUCAAAGCUGAAAAGCUCAUGGUAAUACAUGAGUAUAUUCUAUAAGCACUUUUAUUCCAACUUGGCACAUGGAAUGGUCAGUGUCUCUGGUCAUUUUCUUUCUAAUCUGAAAGGGAAGCUACCCUUCAAGCCGGUCGGAUGCACGCACAUGCGCAUUAGUACAAUUCAAUAAACGGGUUGGACUCCUCCAUCUAUGCGUUUCUUUCGUACGAAUGUUGAUUAGUCCAAAUUGCAACAUGGUCGAUGGUGUAAAGCAAGCAAAUGUAAUUUGAUCAAAUUUGUCAUCUAGGCGUUUGAAUUCCACCGUCAAUUCAUUCAGUAUAUAGUAAUAUAGAUAGUUUUUUUUUGGGGGGUCUGUACAUGUAAACUCUUUGAAAUGAAAUUAUGAACCUAGAAUCUGUACUUGUUACACAUUAAAAUUUUAAAAUCAUCGUAUGUACAAAUCUUGGAGAUGUGAUGGAUCGCAAGCGUAAUCUUCAUCACGGCGUCGUUAAAAAUGAUAAAUUUAACGUGGAUUGUAUAGGCUUAGAGCGCGAGGGCGAGAUGGUCGCCGUCGUGCCGCCGGUACGNNN
rnacentral:lncRNA from 1 species